CCAGUGUAGAUUUUGUCUUCCCAUCUCACCGUCCAUCUCCCUAUUGCGUCGCGCUCUGUUUCUGGCUUCACACUAUGAUUCUCGCUUUUCACCCAUGGCUCGUCGUUGGGGUGAUUCAGUGCCAUUUUCGUGCUCCCAGCUCUGACAUAGUGUAAAUGCCGUGGCUCUGGAUGCGGUGGUCGUUGUUUGAAAUUGUUGUUGUUUUUUUUUGUGUACUGAAGAGGCGGAGGUCGAUGAAGGAUUAGCCAUUUGCGCUCAAGGAGGGCGGUGUGUUUGUUGUCUUGUCACUGAAAGAGCGUCUUGGGUGAGAACUCGAACACACAACGUUGGAUCUCAACCGAAGACGGGUACAGAAAGAGGUACUAUGAAUUUGUCACACCCAUUGUUUGCACGAGCACUAAAACUUUUUUUUUUUUUUUUUUUUUUUUUUUACUGCUAUGUAACUGAACACUGUAAACGUAUCGUACAAAGUCUUUAAUGAGGAAGCUUGGGCUGCCACAAUGAAGAAGCACAUUCACUCCAUUGGGUUGUCACAACAAAGCAGUCGCUUCUUUGGGCUGCCACAAUAGAUUACGAUUUUCUUUUGAACUUAGAAUGUUACGUAGAGUAAUUCAAGUCACGCAAUGUUGGGUUAGCCACGUAAAACACCAGGGGAUGCAUACGGCACUGUGUUUUCAGCAUUUUUAUAAGAUACGUAGUCUUUUGAAGCUUGAACAUACACAUCCUAUACCUUCAAAAACAAAACAUUGUUCCAUAUAUAUUUUUGUAACAUCAAAUAAACUUGUAGUUGUAGAAUACAAAUUUAAACACACACGUAUAUAGAUAGAUAAAUGGAUAGACAGAUAUGUAUGAACGAAUGCCUUACAAUGAACAAGUGUUUAUCCAUGAGAAACUAAUUGUAAAAAUGAUAUGUUAGCUAUUAUCUGUUUAUUUAUUUUAGUUUUGUUUUUAUGUACAAACAAUCUUUGAUGAGGAAGCGUGGGUUACAAGCCACCAGAAAGCA